CAACACAUUCAGCCUCCUAAUCAGGAACAAAGAUGUGAAAUUCUGUGUAAUGUAAUAAAAAAUAAACUGAACUGUGAUAUAAACAAGUUCACCGAUCUUGACCUGCAGCAUGUAGCUAAAGAAACUGGAGGGUUUGUGGCUAGAGAUUUUACAGUACUUGUGGAUCGAGCCAUACAUUCUCGACUCUCUCAUCAGAGUAUAUCCACCAGAGAAAGUAUGUUUUACUAUUAAAACCUGAACUUGGAAUCUUUUUCUGUUGUGGAGAAAUGUAAUUGUAGUAAGACAAGAAUUAAAUAUAUUCCAUUGUAGUAUUUGAAUAAGCAGUUAUUUGAGUA
rnacentral:sRNA from 1 species